UGGGGGAUAUUGCACAAUGGGCGCAAGCCUGAUGCAGCGACGCCGCGUGAGGGAAGACGGUCUUCGGAUUGUAAACCUCUGUCUUCGGGGACGAAAGAAAUGACGGUACCCGAGGAGGAAGCCACGGCUAACUACGUGCCAGCAGCCGCGGUAAUACGUAGGUGGCGAGCGUUGUCCGGAAUUACUGGGUGUAAAGGGAGCGUAGGCGGGAUUGUAAGUCAAGUGUUAAAUGUACCGGCUCAACCGGUAUACGCGCUUGAAACUACAAUUCUUGAGUGAAGUAGAGGUAGGCGGAAUUCCUAGUGUAGCGGUGGAAUGCGUAGAUAUUAGGAGGAACACCAGUGGCGAAGGCGGCCUACUGGGCUUUUACUGACGCUGAAGCUCGAAAGCGUGGGGAGCAAACA
rnacentral:rRNA from 1 species